rnacentral:tRNA from 1 species
AAAGUUUUAGUAUAAAUGUUUAAAGUAUAAACUAUUGUCAAUAGUUAGGUGAAAACUUUA